GUGGGGAAUAUUCCGCAAUGGACGAAAGUCUGACGGAGCAACGCCGCGUGAGUGAUGAAGGUUUUCGGACUGUAAAGCUCUGUUGUUUAGGACGAAAGUGCCUGUUGCAAAUAGUUACAGGUAUUGACGGUACUGAACGAGGAAGCCACGGCUAACUACGUGCCAGCAGCCGCGGUAAUACGUAGGUGGCAAGCGUUGUCCGGAAUUAUUGGGCGUAAAGAGCAUGUAGGCGGGAAUCUAAGUCUGUUGUGAAAAUGCGGGGCUCAACCCCGUAUUGCGAUGGAAACUGGGUUUCUUGAGUGCAGGAGAGGAAAGGGGAAUUCCCAGUGUAGCGGUGAAAUGCGUAGAUAUUGGGAGGAACACCAGUGGCGAAGGCGCCUUUCUGGACUGUGUCUGACGCUGAGAUGCGAAAGCCAGGGUAGCGAACGGGAUUAGAUACCCUAGUAGUC
rnacentral:rRNA from 1 species